rnacentral:rRNA from 1 species
GGUUUAAUUCGAUGCAACGCGAAGAACUUACCUGGUCUUGACAUCCCGGAGACCCUUAGGAAACUAGGGGGUGCUUCCAUCUGGAAGAAUCUGGAGACAGGUGCUGCAUGGCUGUCGUCAGCUCGUGUCGUGAGAUGUUGGGUUAAGUCCCGCAACGAGCGCAACCCUUGCCUUUAGUUGCCAGCAGUUCGGCUGGGCACUCUAAAGGGACUGCCGGUGUUAAACCGGAGGAAGGUGGGGAUGACGUCAAGUCCUCAUGGCCUUUAUGACCAGGGCUACACACGUACUACAAUGGCCGAUACAAAGGGCAGCGACACUGCGAGGUGAAGCCAAUCCCGUAAAAUCGGUCUCAGUCCGGAUUGGAGUCUGCAACUCGACUCCAUGAAGUUGGAAUCGCUAGUAAUCGUGGAUCAGCAUGCCACGGUGAAUACGUUCCCGGGCCUU